AUGAGAUCUGCAGCAUCUGUUCAGCCUCCCUUCACCUACCUCUUGAGGUCUUGCAACCAAAGCACUGCUCCCAUGAGACUGGGCUGCCUAGUCAAGGACUACUUCCCCAAGCCAGUGACUGUGACCUGGGACCCAGUCUUUGUGAACGUGAGCAUCCUGGACUUCCCUGCCAUCUCUCUCGACUCUGGUGCCUGGGUCACCACCAGCCAAGUGACUGCCUGGGGCAAGCUGGCCAAUAACUUCACCUGUCGGGUGGAGCAUGUUCCAUCUGCAACCUACAAGUCACAGCUCACUCCCUUUGCCCUAGAUGUUCCUCAUUCCAACAUCACUCAGCCCACCCUGAAGCUACUCCACUCAUCCUGCAACCCCAAUAACUUUGACUCUACCAUCCAGCUUUACUGCUUCAUUUAUGGCCACACCCCAGGUGACAUCUUUGUCACCUGGCUGAAGAACGGUCAGGAAAUGCCCAAAGCUUUCCCACGUGAAUUCUUGCUCAAGCAGGAGGGCAAGCUGGCCUACACCUACAGUGAGCUCAAUAUCACCAGGGAGGAAUGGGUGUCUGAGAGCACCUUCACUUGUCAAGUCAUCUCCCAAGGCGUGAUCUACAAGGCUCAUGCUCAGAAGUGCCCAGAUUAUGAGCCACGUGGUGUGAGUACUUACCUGAUCCCACCCAGCCCUCUUGACCUAUAUGUAAACAUGGCACCCAAGCUCACCUGUCUGGUGGUGGACCUGGAAAGUGAGAACCUUGUCACUGUGAACUGGACUCGGGAGAGCAGGAAGCCUGUGGGCCAGAUGUCUUGGCAUUCCACCAGGCACUACAAUGCCACAAUCAGCAUCAUCUCCACCCUGCCAGUGGAUGCCAAGGAUUGGACUGAAGGCGAAGGCUAUCGGUGCAUGGUAUUCCACCCUGACUUACCCAAGCCCAUUGUACGGUCCAUCACCAAGGCCCCAGGCCAGCGUUUGGAACCCAAGGUCUAUAUAUACCUGCCACCCAAAGAAGAGAUUCAGAAAAACAAAAACAAAAAACUCACACUCACCUGCCUGAUCCAGAACUUCUUCCCUGCGGAUAUAUCAGUACAGUGGUUGCAGGAUGGGGUGCUAAUCCCCAGCAACCAGUACAGCACCACUGCACCUCUGAAGGACAACAGCUCCAAAGCAGCCUUCUUCAUCUUUUCCCGCCUGCAAGUCACCUGGAAAGACUGGAUGCAGAAUAACCAAUUCACCUGCCGUGUGAUCCAUGAAGCUAUCCCCAAUUCUAGGACCCUUGAGAAAACAGUAAGGAGGAGUUUGGGAGAUGGUUCUUAUGACAUUCAAGCCAUCACUGCCCCUGCCGUCUCCCAACCUGUGCUGGCUGAGGUUAAAGACCAGGCUGUCCAUCUCUGCCCAGGCCCACUAUUCAUGAGCCUCUAA